rnacentral:rRNA from 1 species
GACGAACGCUGGCGGCGUGCUUAACACAUGCAAGUCGAACGGAAAGGCCCUGCUUUUGUGGGGUGCUCGAGUGGCGAACGGGUGAGUAACACGUGAGUAACCUGCCCUUGACUUUGGGAUAACUUCAGGAAACUGGGGCUAAUACCGGAUAGGAGCUCCUGCUGCAUGGUGGGGGUUGGAAAGUUUCGGCGGUUGGGGAUGGACUCGCGGCUUAUCAGCUUGUUGGUGGGGUAGUGGCUUACCAAGGCUUUGACGGGUAGCCGGCCUGAGAGGGUGACCGGCCACAUUGGGACUGAGAUACGGCCCAGACUCCUACGGGAGGCAGCAGUGGGGAAUAUUGCACAAUGGGCGGAAGCCUGAUGCAGCAACGCCGCGUGCGGGAUGACGGCCUUCGGGUUGUAAACCGCUUUCGCCUGUGACGAAGGGUGAGUGACGGUAAUGGGUAAAGAAGCACCGGCUAACUACGUG